CAAAAUGUGAAUGCAUUAUUGAAUCACAGAGGUAACUGAAUCAUGUCUGGAUGUUACAGGGACAGAUGAUACAUGCGUGUGUUUAUCCGGUGAAGAGUGACUGAUGAAGGAAUCCUGCCAUCAUAGGCUUUCAAUCUUUUGUGGUGGAGCAGGUGACGGCAGCAUUUGUGGGAAGAAAGGAAGACCUGAAACAAAAAUAUAAAACUGGUGUGAACAGUGAGAAAGGAGAAAUCCACAGCAGCAUCCUGGAAAUGGUCUGGUGCCAUGGAUGAGAUCCUCCAUCACUCCACCUGCCCUUUACUGCCUCAUCUGAUCCAGAUGUUGCUGUGGCCUCUUCAUCCUCAGUGAGCUCAGAGCCAGCGAGAGCAUCUAGAAAAAGACUAAAAGACAUUGAUUAUUACAGGGACCCCCAAUCCCCUUGAGAAAAGUGCCUU